ACAGUGUCUGGUGGGUAGUUUGACUGGGGCGGUCUCCUCCUAAAGAGUAACGGAGGAGCACGAAGGUUGGCUAAUCCUGGUCGGACAUCAGGAGGUUAGUGCAAUGGCAUAAGCCAGCUUGACUGCGAGCGUGACGGCGCGAGCAGGUGCGAAAGCAGGUCAUAGUGAUCCGGUGGUUCUGAAUGGAAGGGCCAUCGCUCAACGGAUAAAAGGUACUCCGGGGAUAACAGGCUGAUACCGCCCAAGAGUUCAUAUCGACGGCGGUGUUUGGCACCUCGAUGUCGGCUCAUCACAUCCUGGGGCUGAAGUAGGUCCCAAGGGUAUGGCUGUUCGCCAUUUAAAGUGGUA
rnacentral:rRNA from 1 species